rnacentral:miRNA from 1 species
GUAUAACCAUGUUCCAAUUUGAGUCUCAGAGAAACAAUGAGUUCUUUUUUGGAAUAAGCAAAUCCCAUGCAAUAUUUGGGACAUACUUAUGCUAAAAAAUUAUUCAUUGUUUAUCUGAAAUUCUCAUUUAACAGGGCAUCCUGUAUUUU